GAGGACCGGAGUGGACGCAUCACUGGUGUUCGGGUUGUCAUGCCAAUGGCACUGCCCGGUAGCUAAAUGCGGAAGAGAUAAGUGCUGAAAGCAUCUAAGCACGAAACUUGCCCCGAGAUGAGUUCUCCCUGAGACUUUAAGUCUCCUGAAGGAACGUUGAAGACGACGACGUUGAUAGGUCGGGUGUGUAAGCGCAGCGAUGCGUUGAGCUAACCGAUACUAAUGAACCGUGAGGCUUAACCUU
rnacentral:rRNA from 1 species